CAAAUCGUCAACGCAACCAACAUAGCCAAAAUGUCAACGAACAAAUAACUUUUCAAAUCACCAUAAAAUCAUUUUCAAAUCACAAAUACAUAGGUUGACCAUAUUAAUACAUUACCUAUCUCAGUAAAAGAAAACAUGGCUAAGAAACGCAAUAGUGGUCCAAGCACAAUAAGCCGACGUUCCAAACCCUCGGCUGCUCCGAGCGAACAAUACAAAAAUAUCAACAUAGAAAAUAUCAAGGCAUACAUAAACAAUCUUGUGAAAGCCGGCAUCUCCAAAACACACUAUCAUUAUUUUGUCGUCUUCACAAUAAUUCUAAUGAUCGUACUAACAUUUUUAAUACCCGACUUAUCCGUACGACGAGUUGAGUUGCAACAUAUGAACAAAAUAAUGGAUCGAGUGACGGAAGACAUUGGACAGGCUGAAGCAGCGUGUUUAUCAGCCGCUGACGAAUUAUGUACUCUGCACCGAUCCUAUGGUGUUGAAAGUCUAGAAACUGCCGAAUUUCACAGUGCGCGAGGGUCAUCGAGUUGUCACUCAGCACCAGCGAAGUUGCAAGCACUUAGUGUGACCCCGCUGCGAACGGAUGAAAGAAUACCAACAGCCAAUUUUUCGUCCCACUUAGACACACACCAGGAAGAGUGACUUGCAGCCUGCAGAGAACUAUACAAAAUAUUGGAACCGCCUAUGAUCAGCUGCACAAAGAACUACAUUAUUUAGUAGAAGUCGAAAGUAAUGGAUUUGUUCAAACACGUAAACCAAGUCUAGAUCGUAGGAAGCAACAUGAUAUCAAUAUUCUUACAGCUUUCAGAGAAAAAGACCUAAACCUAAGAAAUACUUCAAAAAAUGAAAAAGGCUGCAUGAUAAAUGCAACUACACUGACGAGAUAUCCGUUCAAAUCAACGGAAGUUGGAAAUAAAACAAGACAUCUCUGUUUUAUCCAUAAACAUGCAACAUGAUUCUAAUUUCUAGCUACUAAACAUGUGUCUUGCAUCUUGUAAAAAUCUUGUAAACUAAAAAGGGGAAAUAAAAAAGAUAUUGUCCAUAAA